rnacentral:rRNA from 1 species
UACGAAGGGGGCUAGCGUUGCUCGGAAUCACUGGGCGUAAAGGGUGCGUAGGCGGGUUUUUAAGUCAGGGGUGAAAUCCUGGAGCUCAACUCCAGAACUGCCUUUGAUACUGAAGAUCUUGAGUCCGGGAGAGGUGAGUGGAACUGCGAGUGUAGAGGUGAGAUUCGUAGAUAUUCGCAAGAACACCAGUGGCUAAGGCGGCUCACUGGCCCGAUACUGACGCUGAGGCACGAAAGCGUGGGGAGCAAACAGG